GACGAACGCUGGCGGCGUGCCUAAUACAUGCAAGUAGAACGCUGAAGGAGGAGCUUGCUUCUCCGGAUGAGUUGCGAACGGGUGAGUAACGCGUAGGUAACCUGCCUGGUAGCGGGGGAUAACUAUUGGAAACGAUAGCUAAUACCGCAUAAGAUUAGAUGUCGCAUGACAUUUGCUUAAAAGGUGCAACUGCACCACUACCAGAUGGACCUGCGUUGUAUUAGCUAGUUGGUGAGGUAAAGGCUCACCAAGGCAACGAUACAUAGCCGACCUGAGAGGGUGAACGGCCACACUGGGAAGGAGAAACGGCCCAGAACCCUAAGGGGGGCAGCAGGAGGGGAUCUUCGGAAAUGGACGGAAGGCUGACCGAGCAACGCCGGGGGAGUGAAGAAGGGUUUCGGAUCGUAAAGGUCUGUUGUAAGAGAAGAAAGAGCGGGAGAGUGGAAAGUUGACGCUGUGACGGUAUCUUACCAGAAAGCGACGGCUAACUACGUG
rnacentral:rRNA from 1 species